AGCGAACGCUGGCGGCAGGCCUAACACAUGCAAGUCGAACGAAGUCUUCGGACUUAGUGGCGGACGGGUGAGUAACACGUGGGAACGUGCCUUUAGGUUCGGAAUAACUCAGGGAAACUUGUGCUAAUACCGAAUGUGCCCUUCGGGGGAAAGAUUUAUCGCCUUUAGAGCGGCCCGCGUCUGAUUAGCUAGUUGGUUAGGUAAAGGCUCACCAAGGCGACGAUCAGUAGCUGGUCUGAGAGGAUGAUCAGCCACAUUGGGUCUGAGACACGGCCCAAACUCCUACGGGAGGCAGCAGUGGGGAAUCUUGCGCAAUGGGCGAAAGCCUGACGCAGCCAUGCCGCGUGAAUGAUGAAGGUCUUAGGAUUGUAAAAUUCUUUCACCGGGGACGAUAAUGACGGUACCCGGAGAAGAAGCCCCGGCUAACUUCGUGCCAGCCGCCGCGGUAA
rnacentral:rRNA from 1 species